AAGAAAAAAACCUCAAUGUUGUCCUGAUACUCUGCUGUAGUUUUGUCAGCUUUCUUAUUUCUAAUGUUUUUGAUUGUUGAAGCAGAGCGGAUCAGUUCGUCUCUAAAUCUAUAAUGUUUGGUUUACAGAUUUUAGUGAGUUCAGAGAUCAUGCUCUCAUACAGCCUGAGCUGACUGUCUGUUGUUUUUGGAUUGCUUGUAUUUUCUUCGAAGACGCGCUGUGUCUCCAAGCGCGUCCAGCCUCUCACCUGAAAUGCACAGCUGUGCAGCGGCACGCAAAGAAUUCUGGGAUACCGACGGCACGAAAGCGUGCAUACAUGCACGCUUGAAAACGAGGCGGGGGUAGUGUGGUUUUGAGACCGAAUUUGAAGCGCGCUUAGUAUUUUGUGCCAAACGGGACACCGUUCGUGCCGCGUGGUGACCUCACGUACGCGUCAGAUGCGCCGUUCGAUGGCUGCUGUAUCUGAAAUGGGACACAGGAAGGGCACAGAACGGCGCAAAACGGCGUAAAACGGCUAAAAACGGCAGUGCACUCAGCUAAGCGCCGUUAAGCGCGCUUAUCACGAUGCGGUCUCUGAAAUGAGACACAGCCAUGGCGUUUGCAGAAGAAGGCGAUAAUUUCGUGGUUAAAUAGGACAAGAGUGAGUCAGUCGUGUUGAAUUGGUACGACUUCACAGUUUCAGUUUUUUGUCGUAUCAGCGUUUCAGGUGACUAUAAACGGUACUUUUUGAAAACGGGUCAGAGAGUGAAUAAAUCUGUAAACGACGACCAUUUCAUCUCCGUGUGGAUGUCUAUCUGCAUCUCUGGAAACGAUCAUGUGACACACAGAGUAACUCUUUUAUGGCGCCUUUUUGUGCAUUUCCUAUGCAGCGUUACAGCGCCAUUUACUGGCUCGGCAUAUGCACUCAGUUGUUUUCAGUGGUUUCAAUUUGAGAGAUGAUAGAAAACUUUAUAUUUUGGUGAAAUUGUCACUGAAUUAAACUCAAAAUCGAAAAAUCGAGUUUUCAGAGAAAAAAAUCUGGAUUUUAUUUUCGGCCAAAAUCGUGCAGCCCUAAUUUCUUCGUCGUCUGUUCUGUUAAAUUCUACGCACUGUACCUUUAAGAGGCACAUAAGCACCUCAGUUUAAUCACACAAAUCUGAUCCGCUCUCUUGAAGAUAUUUUAUCUUUAAAAUCCAAUUUAAGACUCUGAUUCGUCUCUAAUAUUGUAGUCCUUUCAUUUAAAGCCAUUUUGUUGGUUAUGAUUUGAGCAGAUCAACCUUUUUUUCAGUAAGUCUUUCUUUGUUUGCCCAAGUGCCUACUGUGUGGUUCUUUACUAACAGUUAUCUUACCGUAACUCACCUAAAAGAGCCACAUCACUGUAAAUUCUUCAGAAUCUCGCAGCCUUGUAGUCAUGAAUAUUUUCAGCACACGCCUGGUUUGCAAAAGAUUAUAACCAAACUUUUCAUGUACGCUUAAUAAAUUAUGGCUGAGUCUGAGGUAUGAUCGAGGGCUGAUUCUCAACUGAUGCACUAUUGAGUCAAGCUGUGAAUAAAUUAUAGAUUAGUCUGCUGCAAUACCCAACACACACACACACACACACACACACACGCUCAGUACAGUGGAGGAGAUGUUUGUGCUGACAGACACGUGGAAGUGAACAGACGAGAGCAGGUUUCCCCCCCGGGAUGUGUGUUACUUGAUUCCUGAGGCAUUCAAUAAAAUGCUGUUUUUGUAAUGAAA